rnacentral:rRNA from 1 species
CUGUCCCUACGGGGCGCAGCAGUGGGGAAUAUUGCACAAUGGGGGGAACCCUGAUGCAGCGACGCCGCGUGAGUGAAGAAGUAUUUCGGUAUGUAAAGCUCUGUCAGCAGGGAAGAAGAAAGACGGUACCUGACCAAGAAGCCCCGGCUAACUACGUGCCAGCAGCCGCGGUAAUACGUAGGGGGCAAGCGUUAUCCGGAUUCACUGGGCGUAAAGGGAGCGCAGGCGGCAUGGCAAGUCUGAUGUGAAAACCCGGGGCCCAACCCCGGGAGUGCAUUGGAAACUGCCAGGCUGGAGUGUCGGAG